UACGUAGGGUCCGAGCGUUUGUCCGGAAUUACUGGGCGUAAAGAGCUCGUAGGUGGUUUGUCGCGUUGUUCGUGAAAACUCACAGCUUAACUGUGGGCGUGCGGGCGAUACGGGCAGACUGGAGUGCUGCAGGGGGAGACUGGAAUUCCUGGUGUAGCGGUGGAAUGCGCAGAUAUCAGGAGGAACACCGGUGGCGAAGGCGGGUCUCUGGGCCUUACCUGACGCUGAGGAGCGAAAGCAUGGGGAGCAAACAGG
rnacentral:rRNA from 1 species